GGGUGGUAAUGCCGGAUGCUCCGACUCCUCGCAUGGGGUGUCGGGAAAGAUUUCAUCGGUAUGGGAUGGGGUCGCGUCCUAUCAGGUAGUCGGCGGGGUAACGGCCCACCGAGCCUACGACGGGUAGCCGGCCUGAGAGGGCGACCGGCCACAUUGGGACUGAGAUACGGCCCAGACUCCUACGGGAGGCAGCAGUGGGGAAUAUUGCACAAUGGGCGCAAGCCUGAUGCAGCGACGCCGCGUGCGGGAUGACGGCCUUCGGGUUGUAAACCGCUUUUGAUCGGGAGCAAGCCUUCGGGUGAGUGUACCUUUCGAAUAAGCACCGGCUAACUACGUGCCAGCAGCCGCGGUAAUACGUAGGGUGCAAGCGUUAUCCGGAAUUAUUGGGCGUAAAGGGCUCGUAGGCGGUUCGUCGCGUCCGGUGUGAAAGUCCAUCGCUUAACGGUGGAUCUGCGCCGGGUACGGGCGGGCUGGAGUGCGGUAGGGGAGACUGGAAUUCCCGGUGUAACGGUGGAAUGUGUAGAUAUCGGAAAAAAAACACC
rnacentral:rRNA from 1 species